rnacentral:lncRNA from 1 species
GGAGUUAACAGUCUCAAAUCAGCUAAAGCUGGACUCAGAAUCUGCGCCAGCUCCCAUCAAAAUUUGGCUAAUGAAGCUGAAGUCCACAUUGGAGAUAAAAAGCUUUAGCUGGGGAAGCUGCAAAAGUCACCUUUUAGUGAAUAAAAACAGUGAGGAUAUCCCAGCUUGCACGUCCCCUUCUCUAAGGCCUGUGUAAUAGUUGAUGGACGAAGAGGCAAGACUGGAGGCAGGCAAAGUUCCAGAUGAAGCUACACUGUCAGCCUGAGCCCCGGAGUGAAGAUGAUUGACACGGAGCGGAGCCUCAGCUGAACCACGAUAGACGUGUACAAUGAACCAGAGGGGAAACCAACAGCGUGGGAUCAGGAAAAAAUGGACAGUAAGAGAAAGAAGUAAAGAGAGGAAGAAGAGGAACCUGGUUUGAGGAAGAGGUGGUCCAGUAGUUCUCAAAUUUUAGUGUGCAUCAGAAUCACCUGGAAAGACUAUUAAAAUCCAGAUCGCUGGACCCCAGUCCCUGAGUUUCUGACGCAGUAGGUCUGGAGUGAGCCCAAGGAUGUGCGUUUCUAUGAAGUUUCCAGGAGAUGCUGAUGCUGCUGAUUCAGGGACAACACUUUGGAAACCACUGAGCUAAUGUGCCUUUGUUACCCUUCUUGAUCACAUAACAUGUGAAUUAUGUCUCUUGAAGACUUCCAAUCUUUAUUGAGGGAGAGGAGAAAGGGGCAAUUGAUUGAGGAGAAAGAAACUUGGCUUAAGGGGAAGUGGGCGCCUCCAGAGCACAGUGACCCAAGCUCUGGUCUUGAAGCCACCAAACCUGUGACCUGUGCAAGUGACUUCAUCCCUCUGAAGCUUGGUUUCCUGUAUGCAAAAUGGAAAUGAGAACAAUAUCAAUUCUGCUAAAAACAAGAGACUGUCGAGAUCAAAUGAGAUAAAUACGGAGUGAAACAAUUACCUUCAAAGUGGACAUCUGAAUUCCCCUCUGGGCAAGAACUGUCUUCCAUAAGGAAAAUAUCUUGACUAUUUACUUGAGGGUGGAAAGUGAGACUUGUAGUGCAAGGUCUAAAAGAAGGGAAAAGGCAGUAAAACCGCUCUGAAAGAGAAAUGGCUGGGAAUUGGGAAGGAGAGCACACCCACCGAGGAGGAGGGUGUGACUAAGUAGAAAGGCUGCCAUUUGCAAAAGCACUUUUUAGAACAGGGAUGGUUACUGUUCAGUUUUCAGCUGUUAGUGUUUCUAGAGAUAAAGCUUU